CAUCCUUCAAAUUUGCAAUUAUAUUUAGGAAAAAUAUUACAGUUUAUUAUCAUUUGUAGGUAAAAUUAAUAUACCAAAGUUUGCGUAAAACUGUAAAUUAAUACUUAUGCACACAUAAGCUUACAUACAUCGUUCACAUUUAUGUUUAUAGCAAUUUUCGUACGCAAAACUACAACUGCAAAUAGUUGCGUGACCACUUUGUACUGUAAGCAUAAUUGUUUAUACAUACUAGUUUUGGGUAAACAUACGAAUGAAUACUAACUUGAGCGCAUUUACAUAGUAACCGGUUGUGAUAAUUGCAUUCACCACCACAUCCACGGGUAUGUAGUCCAUGAUAAUGGUUGGAUCUAAAGGUAAACGACGCAAAAUGCCGCGAGAAGCGCCCAUAAAGAAACCUUGUGGACCAUUCUUCGAGAUUGUCCAACCGGGUGUGGGCUGCUUCCAGGCGGCGGUGACUGCGGGGGAGGAAUUAAAUAAAAAAUUAGUUAAUUACUGUUAUAUAUGUAUGCAAGAAAUAUAUAAAUUUCAUUUAUUUUUAGCUUACUCAUGCUUGGUCGCACAAUGCCGCAUGGAAAACGUGAGGCCACAUUGGCCACUUCGUGUUCGGCCAAGUGUUUGGUGAACGUGUACGUGUUGGGAUGAUCUUUCAGUAACCUAUUGAUAACGGGUUUAUAUGGAAUUAAUUAUGUUUAACAACAACAAAACUCAUAAUUAAAAAAUUGACUUACUUGGGCUCUAACUCCUUGAGCGCCUCAUCGCUUAGCGUUUCAGCCAAAUGUAUCACCUUUUCGGGAUCAUCUGGAGCGGGAUAUAAUUUUUCCUCCACUUCAGUGAUGUAGGAGUUCACAUAAGCGCUGGAGACAUGUACGAGAGCCUAAAGAAAAUACAAAUAAUAAUAUUUAUUAAGAAAAAAUAAUUUAAAAAGUCAUUUAUGCAUGCAUCAGACACUUAAUACUCAAUAACUCACCUCCAAUUUCGUUAACUGCUUACACAACUCUACCACACGUCGUGUGCCUAAUAAAUUAAUAUUUGUGGUCUCUUUGAGCGAUUGAAAGAAAUCCAAUGUGGCAGCAGAGUGAAAGACCACAUGCACAUUAUCGAUCAACACCUGACGUUCCGUUUCGGAGAUGCCCAAAUGCUCUUGACC